UGUUGUUGUUAACUAAUUUUUAACCGAAAAAGUAAAGAGCAUGGCGGAUUUAAAAAAUCCGUAAGUAGCAAGGAGUGCAAAGUAAGUUUCUAAAAGUAACUUUCUAAAGGAACAAACUUCCCCACCCAAAACCUUCAUUUCGUUGGUCGGUUACCCAGAAGCAGUUACUGUUACAUGUUUCUCUUUCUGGGUAUAGUCUGAGCUCACGUGGCAUAGUCCCCUGUUACUGGACAUAGGAGUUGUCAUCAGCCAGCAGCAAUGCCAUCAUGCAUGCUGUUCAUUCCUUCAACGAUUAUUUUUUGAACUGCAAUUAGCCUGGCGGUGUACAAAAUGCAGCAGAUAAGAGACACGGGGUUUCUCCCAUCACCAGGUGGAUUUUGUAGUAUGUCUUUAUACAUUUGUCUUUGUGCAAAAACAGGAAUAUAUCCUUAUAAGUAAGUUCAGCCCGUACAGUUGCUGAAGAGGUGCAUUUUCAAUGUUGAUGAAUGCAACAACUGUCCUUCAAAGUGUUUGCGCUAACUUUAUCACUUUUAUGCUACAGAAUGGUGACUUUUUCUUCCUACCAUCACCCACCCUGUACUAUCAAACAUUAUGAUGUGUGUCAACCUGCUUGGUGAAAAAUUGGUUCUCACUGUAAUAUGCAUUUUUUAAAUUAUAAGUGAGGUUAAUCAUGUUUCGUAUACUUAAAAUUUUUAAAUUAUUUUCUAGUUAACUGCCUGUUUUUACCAUUUGUUAAUUCUCUUCCAUUUUGUUCACAUAAAAUAUACAUAUAAUUUUUUAUUCAUAAAAUAUCUUUAUGUUUAAAGAAAAUAAGCCUUUCUCCUAGUUUGUUGUCUUUUGACAUUGCUUGUACUAUUUUUUUUUUCUCGGCAGAGUUUAAACAUUUCUAUGUAAUCAAAUAUAUCAGUUAGAUUGUUCUUUGAUUGCUUCUGGGUCUUAUAAGUUCUUCUUCUCUCCAAAAUUUUCUAUAGUAAUUUAUGACUUCUCUUUUUAAUGUUGGAGUUACUAAUCUACUGAGAUUUAUUUUGAUGUUAGGAAUGAAAUAAGAACCUGACUUUAAUUUUGUUUUGUCAGAUGUCUACCCAGGUAUUCCAACAUCAUGAGCAAUAAACUAAAUUCAGCAACUACUAAAUACAAACACAACCUUAGGUCCUAUGAAGAGUACAGUUGAAAUGAGGCAUUAAACGUAUAAAUGUGUAGAGGUACCUAAUAAUAAAAAAGUGAAUGAUUUACCGAUUUCAUUUUAGCUGCUUUUUAAAAGUAAUGUCUAGGGGCGCCUGGGUGGCUCAGUCCGUUAAGCGUCUGACUUUGGCUCAGGUCAUGAUCUCACAGUUUGUGAGUUCGAGCCCCGCGUCGGGCUCUGUGCUGACAGCUCAGAGCCUGGAGCCUGCUUUGGAUUCUGUGUCUCCCUCUCUCUCUGCCCCUCCCCCGCUCA